CAAAAGUGAUUUUUUGAACAUCUGGAAGGAACUUGUUAAUACCACUAGUUUAGGCAGGUCUUGGAGCCAUGUUGCAUGUCACAGGAGUCGGGCGUGAACUUUGGGACAUCUUACAUCUAUUCUCAGAAGAAUAUCUUGGCAGACCCUCACAAAUGGAUUUUGAACAGAGAUUGAUUUCUGGAUUUGAUCCAGAGGUGGCGUGUGCCAAAGUUAGACCUUUCUGCACCUCUAGAAAAUAGACGUCUGAGGUUUGCACCAGGACAGCAGCAAAAGUGACCUGGACAACAAGUACCUUCUCAAUAAUCUUAGUAAAAGUGUAUCUACCUGCACUUUCAGCCUUCCUACCUUCAUAUCCCCCUGUAUUCCCUGUUGCCUAUGAAGCAAUUCAUUAAGGAGGAAUUACAUCUGAGACCCUUCAAAUAAAGUAAUGUCUUCACCAUGGGUUCACAACUAUGCGAUUGAGACCUUUGCUAUUCUUUGAGCCAAGAGCCACUGCAUCCUUCAAAUACUUGACAUGAAAGACUGUCUUCUUUAGUGGCCAUUACACCUGCAGGAAGUAUAUCAGAACUGCAGAUCUUAUGCAAACAGCCCUUUCUCAUCUUUCACAAGAACAGGGUAAUGUUCUGUACAAUCUGGACAGUUGAGAGGUAUGCUCAUCAAGUCUUGUCCUCAACAAAAGGAGGGGGGAUGUUACACACCUUGAGUAUGCAUAGGCAACUGAGAUUUUUACCUUGAAAGGAUUACUGCAUAAAUCCUUUGCAAAGUGUAGGAAAGGUGGGCAGGCCCAUCUUCACAUGGCUGUGUCACUGCAACUUCUCCUGUCACCCCUUUGUGGUAAGACUGUACCAGGGCAUGAGGGCCCACUCCACAAGAGCCACAUCAGCCACUUAGGCAGGUCAGCGUCCAGGCCAACUUGAAAGAUAAUCACAUAACUACUUACCACACACCUUUCAACCAUUUAUAACUGGACAUUACCUGUAAAGCCAGGGCAGGAUUUGCUAUGACCAUACUACAGUGAUGACUGCAAUCAACACCAUCUCAUUACAAGCCACCCACUGGUCCAUUGGCUUUGGAAAUCUACAGAGAUGUUUUUUGGUAGUAGCAACUGUGAACAAUAUGAUGAACAUAAUACAGUUCUGUUAGUAACUUACCAUAUUAAUUUAUGUUAGUGUGCUCAUUAUUGCAAUAAUAUUUCCCAUCCUCUGGCUUGUUUCCCUGAUGAGCCAUUGUGGGAUUAAGGUGGAUAUAGACUCAGUCUCCCCUAUCCUCAGGUUUACCUAGUAUCUGGAGAAGGAGUUUGAGGUGCCAUUCUGGUUGAGCUGUCGUUCUUGGAGGCAUAUGCCAACUUGGAUGACUCAUAAUCUGGUCUCAGCUUAGACGACUGGAGCUGACAGUGGCAAGAAAGAACUAAACAAGGAAUGGGUUGGAUAUAUGUCCAUCUUAUGCCACAGAUGUGCUGACAUCCUGGCAGAAGGAUGUCUGUCCAGCCAGCAGGGGAGAAAGGAUGAAAAGCUCUGGUUGUUGGUCCAGAUGGCAGGCCUUUUGUGGCAAACGUCUAGAGUGCUGCCACAUACUCAAACAGUUACAGUUAUGUUAAGUUCCUACUAAAACUGUAUUUUUUUAAACAUGAAUACCUCCAAAGUGCAGGUGACAAAGGUGUUCAUUUUAGGGUGGUCUUUGUAAGAAUGGCACAGAUUUAUGCAUUGUAGCUUUUAUUGUUUGCUAAAAUACAGAAAAGCGCUGUGUGCUGUCUUAAUACAGAUGCUUACAAUUUAAGAGUAAGUAUUUAACUAAGAUGUGUGGAUUCUAUAUUCUUACCUAAUGAAUAGGGACUAAUGCAGGUAUGCAUACUAAAAAAAAAAAGUUUUAUUGCAGGAUAUGCAUUGUUUUAUUCUUGGUGCUUUUGCAGGGCCUGACUAAAUAAAAAAUCAAAAGCUAUUUG